rnacentral:rRNA from 1 species
GGGUUGUGAGGUUAAGCGACUAAGCGUACACGGUGGAUGCCCUGGCAGUCAGAGGCGAUGAAGGACGUGCUAAUCUGCGAUAAGCGUCGGUAAGGUGAUAUGAACCGUUAUAACCGGCGAUUUCCGAAUGGGGAAACCCAGUGUGUUUCGACACACUAUCAUUAACUGAAUCCAUAGGUUAAUGAGGCGAACCGGGGGAACUGAAACAUCUAAGUACCCCGAGGAAAAGAAAUCAACCGAGAUUCCCCCAGUAGCGGCGAGCGAACGGGGAGGAGCCCAGAGCCUGAAUCAGUGUGUGUGUUAGUGGAAGCGUCUGGAAAGGCGCGCGAUACAGGGUGACAGCCCCGUACACAAAAAUGCACAUAUUGUGAGCUCGAUGAGUAGGGCGGGACACGUGGUAUCCUGUCUGAAUAUGGGGGGACCAUCCUCCAAGGCUAAAUACUCCUGACUGACCGAUAGUGAACCAGUACCGUGAGGGAAAGGCGAAAAGAACCCCGGCGAGGGGAGUGAAAAAGAACCUGAAACCGUGUACGUACAAGCAGUGGGAGCACGCUUCGGCGUGUGACUGCGUACCUUUUGUAUAAUGGGUCAGCGACUUAUAUUCUGUAGCAAGGUUAACCGAAUAGGGGAGCCGAAGGGAAACCGAGUCUUAACUGGGCGUUAAGUUGCAGGGUAUAGACCCGAAACCCGGUGAUCUAGCCAUGGGCAGGUUGAAGGUUGGGUAACACUAACUGGAGGACCGAACCGACUAAUGUUGAAAAAUUAGCGGAUGACUUGUGGCUGGGGGUGAAAGGCCAAUCAAACCGGGAGAUAGCUGGUUCUCCCCGAAAGCUAUUUAGGUAGCGCCUCGUGAAUUCAUCUCCGGGGGUAGAGCACUGUUUCGGCAAGGGGGUCAUCCCGACUUACCAACCCGAUGCAAACUGCGAAUACCGGAGAAUGUUAUCACGGGAGACACACGGCGGGUGCUAACGUCCGUCGUGAAGAGGGAAACAACCCAGACCGCCAGCUAAGGUCCCAAAGUCAUGGUUAAGUGGGAAACGAUGUGGGAAGGCCCAGACAGCCAGGAUGUUGGCUUAGAAGCAGCCAUCAUUUAAAGAAAGCGUAAUAGCUCACUGGUCGAGUCGGCCUGCGCGGAAGAUGUAACGGGGCUAAACCAUGCACCGAAGCUGCGGCAGCGACACUAUGUGUUGUUGGGUAGGGGAGCGUUCUGUAAGCCUGUGAAGGUGUACUGUGAGGUAUGCUGGAGGUAUCAGAAGUGCGAAUGCUGACAUAAGUAACGAUAAAGCGGGUGAAAAGCCCGCUCGCCGGAAGACCAAGGGUUCCUGUCCAACGUUAAUCGGGGCAGGGUGAGUCGACCCCUAAGGCGAGGCCGAAAGGCGUAGUCGAUGGGAAACAGGUUAAUAUUCCUGUACUUGGUGUUACUGCGAAGGGGGGACGGAGAAGGCUAUGUUGGCCGGGCGACGGUUGUCCCGGUUUAAGCGUGUAGGCUGGUUUUCCAGGCAAAUCCGGAAAAUCAAGGCUGAGGCGUGAUGACGAGGCACUACGGUGCUGAAGCAACAAAUGCCCUGCUUCCAGGAAAAGCCUCUAAGCAUCAGGUAACAUCAAAUCGUACCCCAAACCGACACAGGUGGUCAGGUAGAGAAUACCAAGGCGCUUGAGAGAACUCGGGUGAAGGAACUAGGCAAAAUGGUGCCGUAACUUCGGGAGAAGGCACGCUGAUAUGUAGGUGAAGUCCCUCGCGGAUGGAGCUGAAAUCAGUCGAAGAUACCAGCUGGCUGCAACUGUUUAUUAAAAACACAGCACUGUGCAAACACGAAAGUGGACGUAUACGGUGUGACGCCUGCCCGGUGCCGGAAGGUUAAUUGAUGGGGUCAGCGCAAGCGAAGCUCUUGAUCGAAGCCCCGGUAAACGGCGGCCGUAACUAUAACGGUCCUAAGGUAGCGAAAUUCCUUGUCGGGUAAGUUCCGACCUGCACGAAUGGCGUAAUGAUGGCCAGGCUGUCUCCACCCGAGACUCAGUGAAAUUGAACUCGCUGUGAAGAUGCAGUGUACCCGCGGCAAGACGGAAAGACCCCGUGAACCUUUACUAUAGCUUGACACUGAACAUUGAGCCUUGAUGUGUAGGAUAGGUGGGAGGCUUUGAAGUGUGGACGCCAGUCUGCAUGGAGCCGACCUUGAAAUACCACCCUUUAAUGUUUGAUGUUCUAACGUGGACCCGUGAUCCGGGUUGCGGACAGUGUCUGGUGGGUAGUUUGACUGGGGCGGUCUCCUCCUAAAGAGUAACGGAGGAGCACGAAGGUUGGCUAAUCCUGGUCGGACAUCAGGAGGUUAGUGCAAUGGCAUAAGCCAGCUUGACUGCGAGCGUGACGGCGCGAGCAGGUGCGAAAGCAGGUCAUAGUGAUCCGGUGGUUCUGAAUGGAAGGGCCAUCGCUCAACGGAUAAAAGGUACUCCGGGGAUAACAGGCUGAUACCGCCCAAGAGUUCAUAUCGACGGCGGUGUUUGGCACCUCGAUGUCGGCUCAUCACAUCCUGGGGCUGAAGUAGGUCCCAAGGGUAUGGCUGUUCGCCAUUUAAAGUGGUACGCGAGCUGGGUUUAGAACGUCGUGAGACAGUUCGGUCCCUAUCUGCCGUGGGCGCUGGAGAACUGAGGGGGGCUGCUCCUAGUACGAGAGGACCGGAGUGGACGCAUCACUGGUGUUCGGGUUGUCAUGCCAAUGGCACUGCCCGGUAGCUAAAUGCGGAAGAGAUAAGUGCUGAAAGCAUCUAAGCACGAAACUUGCCCCGAGAUGAGUUCUCCCUGACCCUUUAAGGGUCCUGAAGGAACGUUGAAGACGACGACGUUGAUAGGCCGGGUGUGUAAGCGCAGCGAUGCGUUGAGCUAACCGGUACUAAUGAACCGUGAGGCUUAACCUUACAACGCCGAAG